rnacentral:rRNA from 1 species
CAAAGAUUAAGCCAUGCAUGUCUAAGUACAAGCCCAUAUAAGGUGAAACCGCGAAUGGCUCAUUAAAUCAGCUAUGAUUCAUUGGAUCUGUACCCACACUUACUUGGAUAACUGUGGUAAUUCUAGAGCUAAUACAUGCACCACGUCUCUGACCGCAAGGGAAGAGCGCUUUUAUUAGUUCAAAACCGGUCGGGCCUCGGUCCGUCACCCCAACGUGUUGAAUCUGAAUAACUUGUCGCUGAGCGCACGGUCUCUGCACCGGCGCCGCCUCUUUCAAGUGUCUGCCUUAUCAGCUUUCGAUUGUAGGCUAUGCGCCUACAAUGGCUAUAACGGGUAACGGGGAAUCAGGGUUCGAUUCCGGAGAGGGAGCCUGAGAAACGGCUACCACAUCU